AGGGACAGCCCGGGCCGCGCACCGCAGGGAGGUCUGCGUUUGGCCGGCUCGGAGCGCUGCGGCAGCGGGAAGGGAGCGGACUGCGGGAGAGAGAGUGUCUUGUUCUAGGUGAUUUUUGCCCCAAAACUGGGGCAGAAGGGACCUCUUCAUCAGGAUGAGUUCCUUGCAAGUGUGACAUCUGCCACCACUUCCAUCAAAAGGAACAGAAAGCCAGCUCACUGGGCAGCAAGCAUCACAGACCCAUGCCCAUCUCUUGCCCUGAGGCAUGAGGUCCACUGUCCUCUGCACAGGCAGCACUGAAGCAAUAAAAGUAUCAUUUAAGUGAA